rnacentral:rRNA from 1 species
UACGGAGGAUCCAAGCGUUAUCCGGAUUUAUUGGGUUUAAAGGGUGCGUAGGUGGAAGAGUAAGUCAGAGGUGAAAGCUAGCAGCUUAACUGUUAAAUUGCCUUUGAUACUGCUUUUCUUGAGUAUAGUUGGCGUUGGCGGAAUGUGACAUGUAGCGGUGAAAUGCGCAGAUAUCAGGAGGAACACCAGCGGCGAAGGCGGCGCUCUGGGCUGGAACUGACGCUGAGGAGCGAAAGCCAGGGGAGCAAACGGG